rnacentral:rRNA from 1 species
UACGUAGGGUGCGAGCGUUAAUCGGAAUUACUGGGCGUAAAGCGUGCGCAGGCGGCUGCUCAAGUCAGGGGUGAAAGCCCAGAGCUCAACUCUGGAACUGCCCUUGAAACUGUAUGGCUUGAGUAUGAGAGAGGUGAGUGGAAUUCCCAGUGUAGAGGUGAAAUUCGUAGAUAUUGGGAAGAACACCGGUGGCGAAGGCGGCUCACUGGCUCAUUACUGACGCUCAGGCGCGACAGCGUGGGGAUCAAACAGG